GUUCCUUCUCCACUGCUUUUUGGGAGGGUUCUGCUGUAAACAUUUUGUAGUACUGGAGGUGUUGUCCAGCUUUGUGAUAAAGCAAUAAGCAGAAAAUGGAGCUUCACUGGACACCCUGUGAGGAGCCACAUGUUUGCAGCCUGCACUGGUGAUGCAAAAGGUGUUGGAUGAUCCCAACUGGAUGGUCUUCAGACAACAGCAUAAAAUCCAUGUGACAGACUUCUGUAUUUUAUGACAAGGACCAGGGCAACUUACCUUGGAAGAGAUAGACAGACCUGUCUGGAAAGGACAAAGGAGAUUUCUAAGUGAUUCUACAGGUAAGUCUAAAGUAUAUGCAGGACUUUCAAAGGAGUUCUUAAAUAACUUCAG
rnacentral:lncRNA from 1 species